AGGGCUUCAGUGAAGCACCUAGUCAAGUGUCUGUCACAGACUUGCCACAACGUUGGGGAGUGCCCCGAGGACGACAGAUCAAGGGCACGUCUGUCCAAGCUGUGGACUGGAGAAGCGUUCGUGAAGAUGGUUUUGAAAAUCCAAUUUUUGCCGCUUGUAUGACGCCCGACGAAAUCCAAGAACUUUUGAAGCACAACAGCACGCUGCAGCAAAGUUUGGAGAAGCUCUCUCCCAACUAGCUGAGGGAAGCACAUUUGGAACUGCACUUAUGCAGGCAUCCAACUCGAACUCUAAAAAGACGACGUUUGGGUUAUCAUCAGCUCUGUCAACGAUGGUGUGCCAGCAGCCCACGGUUCCAUAUGGAUAUGGUGUAGUUGUUUCUCCAAAUAUAGCCGUCCUCAAUAGCACAAUCCAAAGGCUGCUGCAGGAACACACUCCAUUUUUGCACAGCCCAGUGUGGUCCGUGCCACCAAGCCUACAGGAGAAUGAGAUCAUAAAGGUAGGAAGAAUGUGAAUUUGCCUAUAAAAAAAUGUAUACGCAUUUUCGACCAAAUUGCAGGCACUGCAGGUUUCCUCAGAGUCUGCAAGAAAGCUGGAGCAGAAUACACGUCAGCAGAAUAACAGUGAAACAUGGCUGAGGGAACGUGGGCUGCGUCUAACUGCAUCAAAUUUCGGGAUCGUCCUGCACAGAAAAGUAUGGACAGACAAAGGCUUGAGAGCCUUCACAAUGAAGAAGGACCUAUGACGUGUCCGAGCAGUCAGGUACGGUAUCGCCAACGAGCCGGUUGCUGCACAGCGAUAUGAAGAAGUUCUCCAUAGCCAAGGUCACAACGUUACAGUCAUGCCAUGUGGACUAUAUGUGGAUCCAUCCACACCGUGGCUUGGUGCCACACCAGAUCGAAUCGUCUUUGACCCUGCUGAAGACCCUCCGCAUGGUGUUUUAGAGAUUAAGUGUCCAUACUCUUUGUCGGAGAAAGAGUUGGCACAACUAAAGGAUGUGUCAUUCUGCUCCGUAGUUGAUGAGAACAGUGUAACUUUAAAGAGGGAUCACCCCUACUAUUACCAGAUAUUGGGUCAAAUAGCAAUUUGUGGGCUUCCAUGGGGGGAUUUCGUCAUAUAUGGAAGGAACUUCAUUUUAAUUGAACGAAUUAGGUUUGUAAGUGAACAGUGGGAGACUGUGCAGGAACAGCUGAAAUCAUUUUAUUUCAAUAUCAUGCUUCCGUAUUUACAAAAGAGCUUAUAGAUACUGUGCGGCAUACAUUUCCUUGUAAAUAUAUGACACAGUUCUUUCUUCAUUGCAUGUGACAGCCAGUACCGAGUAAUAAAUAUGUACAUACAUA